rnacentral:lncRNA from 1 species
UCCAAUCAAAAAUAAACAAUAUAAAAUAGAGCAUCCAAACAAUUGUAUUUAAAUUAACGACAGAACUAAAACUUAACUAAAACAUUAUAAGAGUUUCCAAAAUCCGAUUAAAAACUCAGCGAAACAGAAAAGGCAGAGAGUACUAUCAAGACAUCUCGAUAAAAUAUAAAGAAAAGGGAAAAUGGACUGAAAUCAACGGUAGGAUUUCUGGAACCUGGCGCGAGCACCGCGACCACCGAACUUCUUGGGCUCGCAGCGGCGAGGAUCAGCAACGAGGAGUGUGCGGUCGUACCUGACGAGGAUGUCUUUGAUCUCCUUCUUCGACUGCUCAUCCACGUACUUCUGGUAAUAGGCGACGAGAGCCUUGGCGAUGCUUUGACGGAUGGCAUAGAUCUGGGAGGUAUGACCACCGCCCUUGACUCGGAUGCGCAUGUCAACGCCGGCGAAACGGUGGCGGCCGAGGAGGAGGAUGGGUUCGAAAGCCUUGAAGCGGAGGAUCUCCGGCUCGACAAGCUCAAUAGGACAUCCAUUGAUCUUGAUAAGGCCGCGGCCGCGCUUGCAGUACGUGACUGCCACCGCCGUCUUCUUCCGGCCAAAGCACUGGACCUGCUCUAAUGCUGGUGGUGUCUGCGCCAUCUUCUCAAUUAGGGUUUGGGGGUUUCACUCAAUGCGCCUCACUCAGGAAACCUAUCUGUGAUUCUCUAAUGUUUAUGGCUUUAUAUAUUCAUCCACGAUUAGGGUUUUUGAGGAUGCGGAAAUACCCUCAUUGCCCCCCUCCACAUCAUCACUAUAAAAGAAAUAAUAUAUAUUACAAUUAUGCAAAAAUAUUAAUAUAUUCUAUAUAUUGGUUUAAUCUUACCCUUGAUAAAAAAAGAAAAAAAAAACUAAAUUUAUAUUUUUUUAUAAACAAAAAAAAAAAGAGUAAGAGUUUAUAUAAAUUUACAAUUAAAGAAACAAUUAUAAAGUUAUUUUACAAGUUAAAAAAUUGUUAUUAUUAUCAUAUAGUUGAUAUAGUUAAAAAUUUCUUAUAAAAUUUGUCAUAUUUGAACCAUAUAAAAAUUUAGUUAACAUGGAAACUAAAUUUGAUUAUCUAGACACCGUAGCUAGAUUAUUAGGUAUAUCAUGUGGAAUGAAAAUAAAAUUUGUUUAUUCUAAUCACUCAUUAAGAGAAUCAUUUAAAAUAUAUAAAAGAAAAUCAUGAAAAUGAAAAUGAUCAAUCGCACUUCCAUAUUAAUUUGGAAUUAUUACCUUUCAUAAUAUUACUUUGAAUUGACAUCCAAAUUUAUUAAUUUAAAAAUAUAAAUUUAAUUAUUAACGAAAAUAUAUGUAAUUUUUUUGCUUCUGUAUAUAAUGGAAUCUGUGUUAACCACCAUAAAUAAUCUUGACCAGAUAAAUAUUGAAUCAAAGUAUUGAAUACUUAAAAAAUUUAAAUUUCUUGCAUUGAUAUGUACAACAAAUAAGUUAUGGUUGAAUUGGAUUAAUUGAAAAGAAAAAUCAAUACAAAUAUUUUAAUUCUUAAAUCAUUAUCUAAAUAAUUUGGCCUAAAUUUAAAAUAUUAUUUAAUCCAAACCAAUUGGAUGUGAUAAAUUGACAAUUGUAGACUUUUUAUUAGAUAAAUAUUAAACAAAAUAAAAUAAUAAUGCAGAGUUCAAAUAUCUCGUUUGUUGAGUGAAAGGGAAAAGUAUAAGAACAAAGUAAAUUGGGUCAAUAAAAAAAUAAAAAUCACCAUUACUUGAUAAAAAUACUUUAAAUGUUCAUAGUAUAAAUAUUGAUUUGGGAAUACAUAGGCGGUAAAUUAAUUCAGUUUUCUUUAAUUUAAAAUUGAAGCAUAAGUAAUGAUACCUUUAAACAAAAAAUUAACGAAUUAUGAUAAUAGCACUUAAGUAGCUACACAAUGUCCUAGUUGGUAAAUAUUAAGGUUAAAACAAACUUUUUAACGAUCGUGUCCUUUAAUACAUUAAAAAAAAGUAUCAAUCGAAAUAUAAAUUGCUUAAAAUAAUAGACACAAAAUUCUAAUGAGUUAGAGAAUCACAUUUGUUAAUAAAUUCACAAGGUGAAUAUGUUUUAAGAAUAUAUUCUUAAAAAUCAUAUCUAUUACUUAGACAUGAUAAAACAAACUGAUAUAAUUUAUGAAAUAAUUUCAAGUGUUAAUAGUUGAAAUUGAUUGAAUUAAAUUUAACUUUUACUAUUUUAUUGUGGAUUGAAAUGUUGAAUGACUAUAUAGAAUUGGGACUAUGAACUAUGCAAUUAGACAUGUGUCAUUUGGUAACCUAAUUUGUUAAUUUUGCCAUAAUGUUUAAAAGAAUCUCUUUGAAGGAACGUUUAAGAGUCAUUAUAUAAUACUUAUUCUUUUGAACUUUUUAUUUUAUAGCAAAAAAAUGUUGUUUUUAACAUGAUAAUUUUUACUAUUAUGCUAGUUAUCUUUUAUUAACAAAAUCAACUAUUUUCUAAUUUUCAACUUUCUUAAUUUUCAAUUUUGUUUCGCUUUUGUACAUAAUUAUAUUUAGGAUUUACUAGUAUAAUUAUAAUACCAAUCUUAUUAUUUUAUAUGUAACUUCGUAACAUGAUAUUUUUGUCUUGAUUUAAACAUGCUUUGCAUCCUUUAGAAGCAAGAAGAAUAUGAAAUAUAAUAAGAGAAAAGUCUCUUAAACAAUUUUUUUUUUUACAAUUUUUUACAAUUUUUUUAUAACAUAUACGUGACAGUUUAUUGUCCGACGUCAUUCAGAGGCAUUGGACACCAGUUUUGACAAAUGACUCAUUUUCCUAAUUUUUAGCAAGUUAGACAUAACUUAUUCUGACGUGCCAAAUUAGUCAUAUUUCUUCGUGUUUGAUUAAGGUAAAUAUAUCAUUGGCAGUUUGGGAUGAAAAAAAUACUUUUACAAGAGCUUAAAGGUGUGUUAGAACUCGAGAAAGCAAUUAUUUAUUCUUCUUUGUAUCUUUAUCUUCUUUCAUAUUUUAUUUUAGAAUCUUAGAAUUUUUAUGAUAAUGAAAAACUAAACCCACUUUAUUAGGUUUUACAAGAUAAUGAAGAACUAAACACAUUUUUGUUGAAAGAAAAUAUAAUCACUAAACUUUCUUGUAAAUUAUAUAAAUGAUAAAACUUGUAUUUAAGAAAUAGGAUUAACUCAUUAAUUAUCGUAAACCCUAGUUCAUAAAAUAUAUUUGUUUAUUAGGAGUUUUCAUAAAAUAUAUUUAUUUAUUAGUAGUUUAAGAAAUUGACUCUUAUGAGAAGGAAGUAAGCAAAAUCUAAUCCCACUAAUAACAUUCUAUAUAAUUUAAAAAUUUUUUUCAUUUUUAAGCGUGUUUAACUUCCAAAUCUCUUCUUCUUUUGUCGCAUAAAAUCAAAAUUAUAAAUAAAUUAUUUAAUCUACACAUAUGAUUACUUGUACAAUUAUUUAGUAUUACAAAAACCUUAAAAAGUGAUAUCUAAUAUUUCCAAUUACUACAUACAGGACUUGGUACACUUAGUAAGAAGUUAUCACAUCGUCUACAGAAGAGUUUAGUGGCAUAGUGAUAUCAAAUAGGUAAAAAGACUCCAAAAUUCGUACAAAUUUACUUUUCAAUUUACCAUAUCGUAUCAUCAACGUAAAGUACUAAUUCAUCAUUUUGUAAGUAUAUUAGUACCUAAGUCAAUUUGAAAUUAGAAUAAAAAUUAUAUAGAAAUUAUAGUUCUUAAUCACGAUUUUGGUGUUGUUGUCAAAGUAAUGUAGAAAAAACACAACAUUAAAGGUCUAAUUAACAUCAUCAAGCUUCUCAAGAACAACUCAUUAGAGGUCUAAUUAACAUCAUCAUCAUCAAGGUGGUCAAUAACAACUAUAUGACAAUCCUGAUGUCCAUUUCGCAUUAAUUCCAACCACUACUCUUAAAGUAUUGCAUUGCUUAUAACAGCUCAUCCAUUGUAAGAAUAUUUUCAUCACACCCAACCCAACAUAUCACACAAUUAUUAUAUUAAUACGACAAUUCCAUUCUCUUCCUCAAACUCACUUAUAAACGAAUCAGAAUCAGAACCAGAUGAAUCUCUUUCACUAAAGACUGAACUAAAUUGUCCGCAACCUUACUUGACUCACUAAUUUUGGUCACUCAACAAAUCUGAUUUAUUUUUCCCCAUCACUAUUACUAUUGCAACUUUCAUUCAAUUUACUGUUCCUCACAAAACACUACAAAUAUCGAUAACUCACUAAGUUCAAACAAUUAUAUUGAAAUUAACGACAGAACUAAAAUUUAGCUAAAACAUUAUAUAAGAGUAUCCAAAAUCUGAUUAAAAACUCUGCGAAACACAAAAAGCAGAGAGUACUAUCAAGACAUUUCGAUAAAAUAUAAAGAAAGGGGAAAAGGGACUGAAAUCAACGGUAGGAUUUCUGGAACCUGGCGCGAGCACCGCGACCACCGAACUUCUUGGGCUCGCAGCGGCGAGGAUCAGCAACGAGGAGUGUGCGGUCGUACCUGACGAGGAUGUCUUUGAUCUCCUUCUUGGACUGCUCAUCGACGUACUUCUGGUAGUAGGCGACGAGAGCCUUGGCGAUGCUUUGACGGAUGGCGUAGAUCUGGGAGGUAUGUCCACCGCCCUUGACACGGAUGCGCAUGUCAACUCCGGCAAAACGGUGGCGGCCGAGGAGGAGGAUGGGCUCGAAAGCCUUGAAGCGGAGGAUCUCCGGCUCGACGAGCUCAAUAGGACAUCCGUUGAUCUUGAUUAGGCCGCGGCCGCGUUUGCAGUAAGUAACUGCCACCGCCGUCUUCUUGCGGCCGAAACACUGGACCUGCUCUAAUGCUGGUGGUGUCUGCUGCGCCAUCUUCGCAAUUAGGGUUUGGGUUUCUCUCACAGCGCCUCACUCAGGUAACCUAUCUGCAAUUUUCUAAUGUUUAUGGCUUUAUAUAUUCAUCGAAGGUUUUUUAGGCUGCGG